rnacentral:piRNA from 1 species
UGUAAUCCUGGAAAUUUCCAUAUGUCC